GCGGAGGUGCUUAGAAGUUCAUUUAUUUCGUACGCAGGCAGCAAGGAUUGGACAUGGAUGUCCAAUCAAGCAGCAAUCGAGCCCGGAUGGCUCGUUGAUGCGGUUGCGUCCGUAUUUAAUACACCAGAUCGAAAUAAAUAGAACUUCUUAACACCGGAG
rnacentral:ncRNA from 1 species